rnacentral:rRNA from 1 species
GGACUACUCGGGUUUCUAAUCCCGUUCGCUACCCACGCUUUCGUGUUUCAGUGUCAGGAAUGUGCCAGUGCGCUGCCUUCGCAUUUGGUGUUCCCCAUGAUAUCAACGGAUUUCACCCCUACACCAUGAGUUCCGCGCACCUCUCACACCCUCGAGCUAUGCCGUUUCCCUCGCAUUUUCCGGGUUAAGCCCGGAAGCUUUUACGAGAGACUAACAUAGCCACCUACACACCCUUUACGCCCAGUAAUUCCGGGUAACGCUUGAGGCCUCUGUCUUACCGCGGCGGCUGGCAC